rnacentral:rRNA from 1 species
CCUACGGGGGGCUGCAGUGGGGAAUAUUGGACAAUGGGGGGAACCCUGAUCCAGCCAUGCCGCGUGUGUGAAGAAGGCCCUCGGGUUGUAAAGCACUUUCAGUGAGGAAGAACGCCUGGUGGUUAAUACCCAUCAGGAAAGACAUCACUCACAGAAGAAGCACCGGCUAACUCCGUGCCAGCAGCCGCGGUAAUACGGAGGGUGCGAGCGUUAAUCGGAAUUACUGGGCGUAAAGCGCGCGUAGGUGGCUUGAUAAGCCGGUUGUGAAAGCCCCGGGCUCAACCUGGGAACGGCAUCCGGAACUGUCAAGCUAGAGUGCAGGAGAGGAAGGUAGAAUUCCCGGUGUAGCGGUGAAAUGUGUAGAGAUCGGGAGGAAUACCAGUGGCGAAGGCGGCCUUCUGGACUGACACUGACACUGAGGUGCGAAAGCGUGGGUAGCAAACAGGAUUAGAUACCCGGGUAGUC